AUAGUCGCGUAUAGCAAUGUCGAAAGACUGCGUACGAGGAAAGUCCGGGCUCCAUAGAGCAAUGAUGCAGGAUAACGUCCUGUGAGGGAAACCUUAAGGAAAGUGCAACAGAAAAUAACCGCCUACAAUAGUAGGUAAGGAUGAAAAGGCGAGGUAAGAGCUCACCGCCAGCAUGGUGACAUGCUGGGUCUGUGUAAACCCCAUCUGGAGCAACACCGGGACAAGAAGGCCAAGACUGCUCGUCAUCUUCUUAAUCUGGUGGCUUGAGGCAUAUAGUAAUAUAUGUACUAGAUAAAUGACUAUUCACGACAGAACCCGGCUUACAGAUUUACUUA
rnacentral:RNase_P_RNA from 1 species